GUGUGUGUGUUUUGUUUUGUUGUUUGUUUGUUUGUUUGUUUUUUGACCGGGCUGUCACUCAUAGUCUAGUAAAAUUAAAGAUUGUGAUUGCUUUACAAUAGUAAUCAAUAGACUUGUGAGCAAAUCAUUUUCACCUGCGACAAACUGAUAUAGGCUGAAGACACUUCCCUAGCUGAUAGGCCUGUCCAACAAUGCAAUCUGACCAGAU